UGCUCCUACGGGGGGCAGCAGUCGAGAAUCAUUCACAAUGGACGAAAGUCUGAUGGUGCGACGCCGCGUGGGGGAAUGAAGGUCUUCGGAUUGUAAACCCCUGUCAUGUGGGAGCAAAUUAAAAAGAUAGUACCACAAGAGGAAGAGACGGCUAACUCUGUGCCAGCAGCCGCGGUAAUACAGAGGUCUCAAGCGUUGUUCGGAAUCACUGGGCGUAAAGCGUGCGUAGGCUGUUUCGUAAGUCGUGUGUGGAAGGCGCGGGCUCAACCCGCGGACGGCACAUGAUACUGCGAGACUAGAGUAAG
rnacentral:rRNA from 1 species